rnacentral:rRNA from 1 species
GACGGGUGAGUAAUGUCUGGGAAACUGCCUGAUGGAGGGGGAUAACUACUGGAAACGGUAGCUAAUACCGCAUAACGUCGCAAGACCAAAGAGGGGGACCUUCGGGCCUCUUGCCAUCAGAUGUGCCCAGAUGGGAUUAGCUAGUAGGUGGGGUAAUGGCUCACCUAGGCGACGAUCCCUAGCUGGUCUGAGAGGAUGACCAGCCACACUGGAACUGAGACACGGUCCAGACUCCUACGGGAGGCAGCAGUGGGGAAUAUUGCACAAUGGGCGCAAGCCUGAUGCAGCCAUGCCGCGUGUAUGAAGAAGGCCUUCGGGUUGUAAAGUACUUUCAGCGGGGAGGAAGGCGAUACGGUUAAU